rnacentral:rRNA from 1 species
UACAGAGACUGCAAGCGUUAUUCGGAUUCACUGGGCGUAAAAGGUGCGCAGGCGGCCGUAUGUGUGAGGCGUGAAAGCCCGGGGCUUAACCCCGGAAUUGCACCUCAAACUAUACGGCUAGAGCAUUGGAGAGGGUAGCAGAAUUCAUGGUGUAGCAGUGAAAUGCGUAGAUAUCAUGAGGAAUACCAGAGGCGAAGGCGGCUACCUGGACAAUUGCUGACGCUCAGGCACGAAAGCGUGGGGAGCAAAAGGG